rnacentral:rRNA from 1 species
GACGAACGCUGGCGGCGUGCUUAACACAUGCAAGUCGAACGGUGAAGCGCCUUCCUUUUUGGUGGGUGUGGAUGAGUGGCGAACGGGUGAGUAACACGUGAGUAACCUGCCCCCUUCUUCUGGAUAACCGCAUGAAAGUGUGGCUAAUACGGGAUAUUCUGGGUCUGUCGCAUGAUGGGUCUGGGAAAGAUAUUGUUUCGGUGGGGGAUGGGCUCGCGGCCUAUCAGCUUGUUGGUGGGGUGAUGGCCUACCAAGGCGGUGACGGGUAGCCGGCCUGAGAGGGUGGACGGUCACACUGGGACGGAGACACGGCCCAGACUCCGACGGGAGGCAGCAGUGGGGAAUAUGGCACAAUGGGCGCAAGCCUGAUGCAGCGACGCCGCGUGAGGGAUGGAGGCCUUCGGGUUGUGAACCUCUUUCGCCAGUGAAGCAGGCCUGCCUCGUUUGUGGGUGGGUUGACGGUAGCUGGAUAAGAAGCGCCGGCUAACUACGUG